UUCAUCACAAAUCAUCACAAGAACAAAACAACACCUAAAGAAAGAGUUUAUAGGAAAGGGGAGAGAAACCUUAUUUUCCACCUAAAGAUCAUCUACUAGUUCCUUUCAAAUCUUCAAGCCAUUAAAGAAGAAAGCUUCAAGAAACUAUUCAUAAGAGCAUCAUUUCUAUAAUCAUUGGAGUAUGGACCAUUUCAGAUCAAAUAUAAUGCAAUUCAUGAAAGGUGGACAUCUAAUGAAUUGGCUAAUUAACUAGUCCAAGAGGAGGCUAGACUUGGUCGUGAAGGCAUUAAAGUUUCCCAUUAUGUUCAAGGAGAUGGACCUAAAGUUGGGAAAAGGCAUAAAAAGAUCCAUCAAAGAGCACUACCUACAAUUGAAUGAAUCCGAUCAAGUUAAUCCGAAGAAAAAAGCAAAGAAAGAUUACAGGUGCAACUUUUGUGAAAAGGUUGGACAUUUUUAGAAAGAUUGCGCUAAAAGAAGAGAAUGGUUCGAAAAGAAAGGGAUUCCUUACGAUCUAGACCAUAAAUUCAAGUGAAAACUACUUACUAAUGGGAAAUCGAGACAAGGCACCAGCGAAGCUAUUGGCACCUAUCUUCUCAUUUUAGAUGGUGGAUUUUGUCUAGAUUUAUAUCAAACUCUUUAUGUUCAAUCUAUUUUCCGUAAUUUAGUUUCUGUAAGCAAUUGGUGACAGCUUGUCCUGUGGGAAGGUUGUUAAAGG